GGACUACCAGGGUUUCUAAUCCUGUUUGCUCCCCUUGCUCUCGCGCCUCAGCGUCAGGUCAUAGCUAGAAAACCGCUUUCGCCACAGGUGUUCUUCCACAUAUCUACGCAUUUCACCGCUACACGUGGAAUUCCGUUUCCUCCGCCAUCCCUCUAGACUUAUAGUUUCAAAUGCCGCUCCGAAAUUGAGCUAUCGGAAUUUCACAUCUGACUUAUAUAUCCGCCUACGCGCCCUUUACGCCCAAUAAUUCCGAUUAAUGCUUGCACCCUCCGUAUUACCGCGGCGGCUGGCAC
rnacentral:rRNA from 1 species